GAUGAACGCUGGCGGCGUGCCUAAUACAUGCAAGUCGAGCGAACGGACGAGAAGCUUGCUUCUCUGAUGUUAGCGGCGGACGGGUGAGUAACACGUGGAUAACCUACCUAUAAGACUGGGAUAACUUCGGGAAACCGUAGCUAAUACCGGAUAAUAUUUUGAACCGCAUGGUUCAAAAGUGAAAGACGGUCUUGCUGUCACUUAUAGAUGGAUCCCCGCUGCAUUAGCUAGUUGGUAAGGUAACGGCUUACCAAGGCAACGAGGCAUAGCCGACCUGAGAGGGUGAUCGGCCACACUGGAACUGAGACACGGUCCAGACUCCUACGGGAGGCAGCAGUAGGGAAUCUUCCGCAAUGGGCGAAAGCCUGACGGAGCAACGCCGCGUGAGUGAUGAAGGUCUUCGGAUCGUAAAACUCUGUUAUUAGGGAAGAACAUAUGUGUAAGUAACUGUGCACAUCUUGACGGUACCUAAUCAGAAAGCCACGGCUAACUACGUG
rnacentral:rRNA from 1 species